rnacentral:tRNA from 1 species
UCCCUGGUGGCUCAGAGGUUAAAGCGUCUGCCUGCAAUGCGGGAGACCUGGGUUCGAUCCCUGGGUGGGGAA